rnacentral:tmRNA from 1 species
GGGGUAGUAAAGGUUUCGACAGGGAUUUUGAAUCUGGAGAAGCUAUCCGGAAGAUGUGCCGUUAAAACUCAAACUUAAAUACAAACGCUAACGACAAUUUAGCAAUCGCUGCCUAAGUGCAGCAGUCAGCCUUUGAGCACCUGCUCUCAGAGAUUCUGACUUCAAACAGGCAGGAAACGACUUUCACAAAGCUUUGCGUGAAAGGGGCGUAAUAUGAAGCUACGAGAGUACAAGGAGCGUUUAUCCGCCAGGUACUUAAGGAACGAACAGGGUCGGCCUGUGACAACGAUAAACUAUGAUAGUAGAAGGACAGUGGAUGGGUCUUUGGACACGAGUUCGACUCUCGUCUACUCCAU